rnacentral:rRNA from 1 species
GACGAACGCUGGCGGCGUGCUUAACACAUGCAAGUCGAACGGUAAGGCCCUUCGGGGUACACGAGUGGCGAACGGGUGAGUAACACGUGGGUGAUCUGCCCUGCACUUCGGGAUAAGCCUGGGAAACUGGGUCUAAUACCGGAUAGGACCACUGCCUGCAUGGGCGGUGGUGGAAAGCUUUUGCGGUGUGGGAUGGGCCCGCGGCCUAUCAGCUUGUUGGUGGGGUGAUGGCCUACCAAGGCGACGACGGGUAGCCGGCCUGAGAGGGUGACCGGCCACACUGGGACUGAGAUACGGCCCAGACUCCUACGGGAGGCAGCAGUGGGGAAUAUUGCACAAUGGGCGCAAGCCUGAUGCAGCGACACCGCGUGAGGGAUGACGGCCUUCGGGUUGUAAACCUCUUUCAGCACAGACGAAGCGCAAGUGACGGUAGGUGCAGAAGAAGGACCGGCCAACUACGUGCCAGCAGCCGCCGUAA